CAGAGCUGUUUGCAGGCACACAGCUAACAGAGGUGGAACCUUGGGGAGAAAAGUGCUGCAAGGCCAUGGCUGUUUGCUGCUGGUAAAGCUCUG
ensembl:miRNA